GCGCCUCUGCGUCUAGUAUUUUGUUGCGGGCUCUUUUUGAGAAGAGAUGGAAGAAAGGAAGCUGCUUAUUAUCGUUAUAAUCAGUGCUCAUUUACCCACGCUGGAAUGCUGCUUGAAAUGUAUAUCAAAGACAUACAACAUACGAAAGUUUUUAAAUACUCGUGAUCCCAUAUGGACAUACAUGACUACGAAAGGUGGAAAUACUUUGUGUACAGUGGACGUACUGGUAUCUAUGAGCCAAGCUUCCCUGCUCUACUAUCACCUGGACUACGAAAAGGGUGUAAAACGGAACGCUACAUUCGUGGGAAUGUUUGAUCAUGAAAAGAAGAAUCGCAUAUCUGUUUCUGCCAAAGGUAGUCCCUAUAAGAUGACAGAAGAAAUCGUCCAUUUCAAUAAGGAACACCACUGUGCUGUGAUUAGGAUCUCGAUGCGUAUUACAGGUGGGCUACACACGUAUGACUUGCGAGUUUGGAACUCAACCAUGGUAAUCCAAAGUGCACGCCCCUGUCUUCAAAAAUUCACAAAGCUGGAACCCCGAGGACAUUGUAUUUACGACAACUUCUGCAAGGGCCUAUUCCAUAAGAGUUCACGACCGCCGCAGCUGAUUCAGCAAAGUGCCAAACAUCCACGGCAGACGUUAUAGAAAAUGGGAAGCAAAAUAUAAGUUCCCUCAAUAAAGACGUAGCGGGGCUAGUAGGUGAUGCAAUAUUUUUUUUUGUUACAAAAGUAAUCCAGCGCUACCUUUUAAGACGCGACAAAAUUUAAGUGUAGUCUUUAGGGCACAUAAAUUUUAAGUAUGGUUAUUUAUACAGGGUAGAUUUUUGGUCAGUAAUCUACGAGUUACAAGUGAAAGAGAGUCUUAAAGAGAAGUAAAACAUUGAUACCAAUA